CCUACGGGAUGCUGCAGUGGGGAAUAUUGGACAAUGGGCGAAAGCCUGAUCCAGCCAUGCCGCGUGUGUGAAGAAGGCCUUCGGGUUGUAAAGCACUUUCAGUGGGGAAGAAAGCCUUGGGGCUAAUACCCUCGAGGAAGGACAUCACCCACAGAAGAAGCACCGGCUAACUCCGUGCCAGCAGCCGCGGUAAUACGGAGGGUGCGAGCGUUAAUCGGAAUUACUGGGCGUAAAGCGCGCGUAGGCGGUCUGAUAAGCCGGUUGUGAAAGCCCCGGGCUCAACCUGGGAACGGCAUCCGGAACUGUCAGGAUAGAGUGCAGGAGAGGAAGGUAGAAUUCCCGGUGUAGCGGUGAAAUGCGUAGAGAUCGGGAGGAAUACCAGUGGCGAAGGCGGCCUUCUGGACUGACACUGACGCUGAGGUGCGAAAGCGUGGGUAGCAAACAGGAUUAGAUACCCUAGUAGUC
rnacentral:rRNA from 1 species